rnacentral:rRNA from 1 species
AGCAAUCUACCUUGGAGUGGGGAAUAACACAGUGAAAACUGUGCUAAUACCGCAUAAUACAACUGUGUCGCAUGGCAGUGGUUGUCAAAGAUUUAUCGCUCUGAGAUGAGCUCGCGUCUGAUUAGCUAGUAGGCGGGGUAAAGGCCCACCUAGGCGACGAUCAGUAGCCGGACUGAGAGGUUGGCCGGCCACAUUGGGACUGAGACACGGCCCAGACUCCUACGGAAGGCAGCAG